GGGCGAAUGGUCUAGGGGUAUGAUACUCCCUUCGCAUUUCCUGAAGUCCCUUCAGGUUCAGUGAUUGGGAGGGGUCCGGGGUUCAAUUCCCCGUUCGUCCA